UGUAACAUAUUUUAAUAGAACUACAUUUAUUUUACCAAAUACCAAUGAAAGGCAGCAGAUUAUAUGCACCUAGCUUCUGAAAUAAAAUAAAGCAAAUAAUUAAAUAAAGGGAAGAAGUCUCAAGGAAGAUAUUAAAGCAGAUUUUGGGAGCAUCAGUCAUUCAGUGAUGUAAACAUGAAAGGGCUUGUUCUUUGAUCAUGUAAAUCCAGAAAUCACUAUGGUGCACUUGCUCUGUUUAUUCUUUCAGGGGUCAUUAACACACACAGGAGCUUCCAUAUAGUAUCACUGAACCCUGAAAGUAAACUCCAGGACACCUUUCAAUUAGAAAGAAGCAAUGUACCAGAAAUAAAAGCUCCAUAUUUUAGAGUGGGAAUGAUGAAGUUCAUGAAUGUUCCUAAAAGGUUUUGGAAAUGGAAGAACUCCUCUUCAGAGUUCCUGAACUAAAGUUCCACUGAAGAAAAUGAUCCUAUCUUUUUCUAUGCAGGGAGUUAAAGGUGACCUGUUAAACCACAACAGUUUAAAGAAGCAAAACAAAGCAAAAAUGCAUCAUGAACAUAUGGGUGCAUUUUGCCUAUGAAGUUGGCAUGUGGGGGGGGAAAGACAAAUGGAGCUGCAAGUCGUCAGAGCAGUAGGCAGCCUGGACCCAGCCUGGACCUGCCAUUUCUUGGAUGCGUGUUUUUACCUCUCUUCUGGAGAAAGUUCUAUCCUCAGGCAAAGUGGCAAAAUAAAAGUAUACAGCAUACUGCUUAUAUUUAUUGACCUUGAUUAUGUGGUGUAUACAUAUAGAGGUAAAGUUUAACAAAUAACUAUUGCAAGAAAUAUCUCUUAUACCUAAGGCAAAUAAUGGAGUAGCGGUCAGAGAAUUAAAUGUUUCCUUUAUGUUAAGAAUAGAAAACCGGUAGUCAGUUGUCUGAUGCUCACUGACCCGUGGAAAUUUAACUGGCAUAUAGUGAUACUUUUGCCUCAAAGGGUUAUUCUUGAAUGCCACAUUAAAUUGCUGUGGCAAACUAUAGAUAGCUUAGAAAUACCCCACAGCCUGCUGUGUACACCACUCCACACAUACACUGCUAUUCACUCAAAGCUACAUCAAACUUGAAAGGCCAAUCUUAUUCACUCUUUUCCACUCCUUGCCAUCUUUAAUCGUCUCUGCUGCUUUCUUAGUCUAGUGAUUUCUUGACAUGCUUUAUUCCUUCACCUAGCUUGUCUAUUAUUCUGCAACAUUGUUUUCUUACCAGUAAUACCUGAAGUUACACUGAGCAGCAGUGCUUUGGUAGUAUGUGUCAUUUUUUCCAUAGUAGAGGUUUUGAGACUUUUUUUACUUUUGUUUCCCUCCUCUUCUCUUCCUCUGCACUGACCCUGUUUACCUACCCAUCAGCAGUUUCAGUCUGAGAAGGAAAUCCAUAAGAUAGCAUGAUCUUCCAUUUUAUCUUCCCAAAUCCUGCCUGAAACAACAAGCAGUAGCAUAACAUUUGGAAAAAGAUGUUAUAACCCCAUUUUUCUUAGAUGCUUUUUCUUUUAUCUUUGCUAUUUUCAGAAGUCCGAGACAUGCUCUAGGCUAAUGUUGCCAUGGUGUUGUCUCAGAUUUGGUCUGGCAUCCUCCCAAGGACAUGUGUGCAUAGCUUUUUUCCUGGAGUUUAAAGAUGCACCAUUGACAUUUUUCUCCCUCAUGGCCAUUUCAAAUGAGUAGAGAAGAACAACCAAACCAUCAAACAGAUUUCUUUGAGCAGAGGUCAAUCCUACAUCUGCCUUGUGUAUAUUGUGCCUGGAUGAACACUGAUACAUUCAGCAUUUCUGGUGCUGCCAUUAUCAUUUCAUGCAUUUUACAAACAAAGAACAUACAGAUGAAAAUCCAAGUAUUAGUUAGGCAUAUGAAUUUAGUUUUUUCUUUUUGAUGCAGGUGGUCCUGAGGACAGGUCCAAAUUUUUCUUCAGCUCAUCCUUCUCACCUCUGCUUCCCAACAUACAUUUUCACAAAAAUGUCAUUCACCUGCCCUACCCUGGAACCGUUUAAUUUCUGGGUAUGUUUAGACAUACUUUUAAUCAAAAUAUUGUAUUGAAAAUACUUUUAGAGUGUACAGCACUCUUACAGAGUGCUUACAUUUUUGGUAACGUAUUAAGUUCUCAAAAGCUGCUGUAAACAUUUUAAUUUCAUGACAAAACCCAAGAUUUUCAAUCCUGUUUUCUGAAAACAAGGAGUUCUUCCUUAAUCUUUUUGAUAAAACUGUAUUUUAAUAGAAAAAGCUCUAGGUUGUACUGCUUUUUAAAAUAUGUCAAAACAAAAAUCUAGCAAAGACAAGAUAAUAGCCAAAACUUUGCUGUAUAAUAUUAUCCACUCCCUUAUGGCUUGUGUGUUAAAAUAUCUGCCCGUUUUUGUUAUUCAAUCUAAUUAAGGAAUAGUUCCCUAGGAAAUGUUUUUCUCUGAGUAAAUCCUUAUGGAAAGCUGUUGUUUGCUAUCACCAGCAUUUCUGUCCUUAGUGCUGUUUUAUAUUCUUGUCUACAAACAGAAUUAUAACUGAAACAAUAUAAGGGUGUCUUGCCAUUAAAAAAACAUGUAUUAAUCUGAGAACCAAUGUUGCACCUGAAAAAAUGAAGGACUUCUGGUAUUAUAUCUGACUUGUGCUGUUUUAACUUUUGACCCUUGUGUUUAAACAUUAGAUGUCUUACCUGAAUAGAGAGAUCUUGAACUUAGCAAAGAGAGAAAAUGGUUUUAAUGGGAUUUGAAUGUCUGAACAUUUUUUUAAAAAGGUCUGUCUGCAAAAAGACAAAACAAUGCGUUUUUCAUGUUAAUGAAAGUGAAGAUUUAAAAAUUCUGAGGGUUGUAAACAUCACUUUGAAAGCUUCUGGUAGGAAAGAUGAUAUAGUCACAAGCCUCCUCUCUGCAUUUUUGUUGAUAAGGAGAUAGGUGAGAGUGAAACACUACAAAUCUGCAGGAUUUUGCUCAUUUAUACCUGUGUCAGGACUUAGGUUAAUUUUAGAUUAUCUCACUUCUAGAUUUUGUGCACUUCAGUAUUUUCACUGAGUGCUGUUGCUGGAGGUGACUGGCAGCAGACGUGCUCUUACCUGUCUUUUUUCUCUGUCAUAGUCCCUCACCUGUAUGUUUUUGUUUAAGCAUUUUGGCUAGUUAAUGAGUUGAGAAAUGUUCUGUAAGCCAAGUAUUGGGUGGAGUAUGAGCACUCAGAAUUUAAUUAAGGAGUUCCCAAAUCACCCACCUCUAAAGGCGGGAGUUAGUCCCAAGGAUGAGGGACUCACUGACUUUGAUUUUGCUGUAGUCCCUACUGGGUUAAGCAAAUACAUUCAAUAGGAACUGCAUUUCUUCAGAGAGAGGGCAAUGCAACCCUCUGUGCAUCUGCUCUGAGAGGUUUAUUUUGACCAUUUUAAGAUCCUACAUAAAGACAAAACCGAAAUUAUAGCUGUUGUCUCUAGUGCAGAGAAUUCAGGUAUUUGGGUUUUUUUUUUUCAUGUUCAAAUUCAGGGAGGAACUUCAUCAGUAUUGGAGCCUGCACCAUGAACAAAACAAGACAGACUAUUGAAAGAAAACAAGAUAAAACGCAUGGAGAAGUAUUUGCUCAAUAGCUUAUGGUGAAAUGAAAUGCAAAAUGUGUUCAUGUGUACCAAUAACCUUGAAAUGGGAUGGCUGCUGACGGAUAUCUGUUUUUGUUUGGGGCACUCAGCAUAAAAAGCUGAACUGCUUCAUACAUUUAAUUCUUCAACUGGCAAGCUUACAGAAAUGAAACCAAUCCAAAAGAAUAAUGUAAGCAUGGAAAAGAUUACACGAUGUUAUUGAAUUAUUGUUAGUUUCCCAAAAUCUUUUUAUCUCUGUACAAUUUGCAUUGCCUGACCACAGAAAAGGUGAUGCCAGAGCUGAAAAUGUCUUCGGUAAGUUUUAUACUACUUUGUUGUUUUACAAGGCAGAAGUUCAAGUGUGUACUGGGCGUAGGUGGCAAGGCACUGGCAAUAAGGUGCAGGGGUGGCUUUUGAGGGAAGAGAUCAGGGGCUGCUCUGUGCUGGAUGCACCCAGUUACAGUCAGCUCUAAAACAGAAGGAAACACCUUGUAUUCCUCAUGGCAUUAUAAUUAGAGUGAUGAAAGUUUGCUAAUAGGUCAAUGACUUUAAAGGAAAUCACAACAAGGAAGCAUCUACAGAAGGUAUUCAGCUUGUUAUACAGUUUUUGAGUGGUCCUAAAGUGACAGUGCACAGUGUACUGUGUAGCUGCAGCUCUGUAUUGGCUCUCUUAAUCAUCCAUUUAGAAAUAGAAAUAAAAAGUUUGGCCUUAAUUCUGAUAAUCUAAUUAUCUUCCUUUGUGGUUUUUCAUAACUGAAAACUGAUCAACUGACAAGUGGUAUUGAAAAACUGUGUAUCUCAUCAUUCAGUUCAAAUCACUGCUUUCUUCUUGGCUCCCUGGGUGAUCUUUUGCAAAAUUAACGCUGCAUAUUAACACUUCUGUAAGCAAACUUCUAUCUGCCUGGAAAAGACUAAGGAACUCCAUUUGUCCCCAGAGGGAAAAAUCAUAGAAUCAGAUAUUCAGCUCAAAGUGUAGGUACUUAUCCUACUUCCAGUUGCCUCAGUCUACCCAAGACACUUCUAGCCCAAUUUCACAAUCAGUUGAAGAACUCCCAGUUCUGGUUCCAGAAACUAUUACCUGCAGUAAUUAGUAUUGUUAAGUUAAACAUGGCUUUUCAAAACCCAAAGCUUUGUUCUAAUUUCAUUUUUUUGUUCAAAGCUCAUAGCUGCAUUUUCACAGAAUCACAGAAUCGACUGGGUUGGAAAAGAUCUCAGAGAUCAUCGAGUCCAUAUGUCCAUAUGUUCGUUUCCAUAUGUCAAGUUUUAACUGUUUACAUUGAGCAUGGAUAUUCAGUUCAGCAGAAAGAAUUUCCACAAUGAAAAAUCAGAGCUAUUUCAAAUUCCACAAAAAGAAAAACUACAAACAACUUAAGAGUCCAGCUCUAUAUUUUUUCAUACACAGAAGUAGCUUUGGCAGGUUUUAGUGGUGCUUCUCACAGAAUUAAGAAUCUCAUGACUUGUAUAUUACAGGUCACAAUGAUGUCAGCUCAUGUAGAAUGCAGAUGAGAAAGCUGAAACAUUUUCCAAAUUGCAUUUUAGAAAGGAAUAUUUUCUAAGACACAUUUUAAACUGUGUUCUUUUUGAUAUUUCUUGGAGUUACGAAUGUGUUAAAAAUGUGACAGUCCAAAAGCACAAGUCCUUGUCACUUUCUAUUAUCCAGUAAUUUUAAGCAUUUUCAAUUAAAAUAUAACAGUAGUCAGUACAUCAGGAAUAACUUCUUUGCAGCUAUAAAAAGAAACCUGUUAUAGAGUCCAUAAUGAGGAAAUAUUUUGAAACUGUGUGAAAUAUAAUGAGGAGUGCACACUGCAAAGUGGCCUCAAUUGUAGUGUUUAAUCAUAGUCCUUCCAAAAGAACAGCAAAUGAACUAUUUUGUAGCCAUAGUUUUCAUCUUUUUCUUUUUUUCUUUGAUAAGCAUGUGUUUGUGUCAGCAGUUGCGUUAAAGAUGACAUAGAAUUAUAUCUUUUGUAUUGGGCUGCAACUUUAGUGAUGCUCCUUUAUGAGAGAGAUACUUCUGUGAUCUUUAACUCCAUAAUAAUACAUGUCAGAAAGAAUUUCAGUCCUGUGCCUGUGUGUAGUUACACCCCUACCUUGCUUUGUGUCUCAUCUGAAGCAACUGUUUUCUACUCCACGCAUGCACUUUUCUUUCCUACAAAAACAUGGAGUAGUAAGUUGGCCUUUCUGCAUGCCCUGGUGUCACCUCAAUGUGGAGACAGGAUGUUAUCAGGAAACAGAAACUCCCAUGCGCUUUGUGCUCAUCACUCUGGAUGUAGUCUUGGGUAUCUAAACAUUGCAGAUAGGUGCCCCGACCCUGAAUUUGAUUUGAUGUUCUAUGGAAAGCAAUUGUAAACAGAAAAUUAUAAGCUUAAAGUUCUCCUGGUAGCGAUGCUGUUGAGGAGAUGUGUGAUUGCCUUCUCUGUUAACUGGAGUUUCCCAAGUGUUCUGUUGCAUGAGAGAAAAAAAUUCAAGGUAUCAAACAAAUUAUAUCCUUUUAGGACACAGGCACACAGUAGCAAUACAGUCAGAAGUCUUGGUCAAGAAAUAAUUUCUCGUAUUUUUCCACUAAGCACAUUUUUUUUUUCUGCUGAAGCUUUGUUUUUCUAGUUUAACCUUGUAUGAUUUGGCUUUAAAAAAGUACAAUGACUAAACCUGAUAUGUUUUCUCUUUACCAUUUCAAAAUACUUCUAGUUAAAUCUUUGGAAACAUCAGAAGACUAAAAUGUCUGAUGAAAUGAAUAGGUAAGAUUAUGGGUGGUUGCUUUCAUCUAAGGGUGAAGUCACUACUACCAAUGUAAUUGUUUUGCAGCCUGUGCUCCUUGGAGAGCUGCAAAUGGAAAUGCACACACUGCUCAGCAGGAUCACAAGGAAUAAGGAAUGAAUCUCAGAGGAGCUGAAUGAUGGCCCUUCACGAAGUCAUGAUGUAUUAGCUGUGCACCUGUGAAAAGUCCUCCAUGCCAUACCAUUUUUGUUCAUCUCAACACUAACUUCAAAGCACUAGAAAUUUUAUAACAUGAAAAAGGAAGAUUCUAGUAAUAAUGUUUAAGAAAAAUGUCUUCGUAUGGGCAACAUUGAAGCUUUAGUAUAACCAAAGAACUUUUCCAAGGAAGUCCUGGAAUUAUGUGAGUAUAAAGUAAUUUUUGCCACAGAUGUUGGGGGAACAUCUGCAAUUACAACAAAUCCCACAUGUCACAAAACCAAAAUAAGUAGAAAGGUGUUGAUUUUGUGUUGCUUUGAUUGUGUGGUGUGGUUGGUAGCUUCACAGAGUGACUGAGAGGAUGUGAUCCCAUCAUGGUCUGGGCAUGAGGAUGGUGUACUAAGAGCUGCUGGAGAGAAAGCUUAGUACAGAUGUCAUUCACCAUUUGUAGAAAUGUAUACACAGAGAUAGGUGAGGAAUAAAUGUUUCCCACAUAUUUUAAAAACUAGAGCAUUCCAUAAUUAAAGGCACAGGACAUUGUUUUGAGAACUCACCCACGGUGCACAAGUGUGCAGAAAUGGAGUAAAACAAGAAGUAGCUUGUUGGCAAAAGAGAACGUGAUUGCUGUUGAUGGCAAAGAUUUUGGUUAAAAGUGUUACAACCUGCCACAUUUCCACUCUAGUGUUAUAAUUUAAGAUGUGACAGUGAGGACAAAGAAAUGUGCUGCCAUUAAGCUUUCUUUGAUUCACUUUCAUUUCAAUUCACAUUUUCCUGUUAUAACUAAUCAGACUGUAUUCUCUCCAUUAUCAUCUUCUGCACAGAGUCUUAGGGCAACAUUUCUUUUGAAAAACAUAGUGGAGGGACAGGCUGAGCUUAAUUUUUUUUUCUCCCCCAAUAUUGAGACUGGGGAGUUUGUGAUCCCUUUUCAAGAAAUGAUCUGCAUUAUUUUAGAAAACAUAUUUAAUGACAAUACUGAACAAAAACCAAAUGCACACUUUCUAGUUCAGCAAAACCAGCACAAAAUGGAUUCUUUUGUUGGAAGAUGACAUGGCAUUUUUUCUUCUCUUGUUUCUCUGUAAAUAUAAUGCUAAAAUACUAAGGAUGUAAGGUAGCUGAGAUGAUGGUAAGUGGAUCUGAUUGCAUUAUGAUGGGGAAAACAACACACAAAUUCCAAUAAUCUCUAACUUCAAUGCUUUCAGGGUUUCUCUGUUCGUUUGCUUUUUAAGGUGUUUCUCUUCCUUGUCCCUGCCCUGUGGCUAGGGCUAAGGAGCAAUGGUGUUAACAUAUUAGCACAAGCCAGAGCUCCACCUGAUAUGCUAGCACCUUGCUACAGUGCUGUUUGUGCUCUCCAUCAAAACCAAAAGCAGGCACUUUGUUGCCAAAGUUGAGGCUUUUAUCAUGAGCCUUGUGACAUUUGUUGUUUCUCUUUCAAAGCCCCACAAAGUCAAGAGGGAGCUUUGUGGGACAGGAUCAGGUAGAUCUCUGCGGUGCAGCUGGUGGCACUGUGGCAGGAUGCUGGCAGGGAACAGUGUCGCCCUACGCUGUCUGUGAGCCCCAUCAGUUUCAGCCUCUGACCUAUGGAAUAGGGUUAGUAAUUUUCCACUGCACAGCAAUGCUGUAACUCCUUCUCUCAGGAGCAUUUGUUGACAGGUACAAAAGAGCCAGAAGUCUCUUUAAAAACUGAGCACUCCUCCCUUUUUCUAUACUUGAGAUUCCCAACCUUAUUAGUGCCUGCAGGAUGUGAGCCAAAAUCUCUUGAGCAAAGGUAUAAUAGCUGCUCAGAGACGUUGAUUGUAGGUGCAGUCAUCAGAGCCUUAUGGGUUUAUAAUCUGGGCCAUUUGCUCAUCUUCCUCUAACAGAAAAAUAUGUUUAUUAAUAAAGCCAUGUGAAAACGGGAAUGAAGAAUAACAUUGGCAUUAAAAGAAACAAUAUAGUAUAAAGGCAACUUUUCCCAGUCCUCUAAGUAGAAUUAAGUUAGUAAGAAUUUAUAGCAGUACAGGUUUUUAUUGCAACAAGUGUUAGUAUGAA